UGCAGCUCCCAUGUCAGCAUUGGAUCUGCUCACAGCCUGGCUGCAGCUCCCAUGUCAGCAUUGGCUCUGCUCACAGCCUGGCUGCAGAGGCAGGGCAGGACCAUGGUGGGGGUGUGUUUCCAGAAGCCAGGUGCUUUAGGAGCUCCAGUGCAUGGGUUUCAUUUCCAGCAAGCUCUGCAGCUGGGUCUUGCCUUGGGCUCUGGCUGCUCCCUGGUGCUGUGGGAGCUCACGCUGCGCUCUUUCCCCCCUCAGCUCCUCCCUUUCUCCCCCUCUGCACUGUGACUUCAUUUUCUUGAAGCUCCUGGAAGCUUUUCAUAUUUCUGUCCCUUGUCUCAGAUUUCAUUUUAAACUGGGCAACUCUAGAACUGAGCAGAGGAGGACAGCCAGCCAUGGGCACACACACUGUGACCACACACACCCUGCUUUCAGAGGAGAGCAACACCGCAACCACGAGACACAUUUGAGCUGUUGAGGUCUCCCCAUCCCUGAAGGAAUGAUGUCUGUGCCCUUAUGGGUUCUACCUGCAGCAGUGCUUGCUGUCUUCCAUCUGGCUAAUCUCACUGCAACAGGCUUAAAGGAACAAAAGAGAGAAACAUGCACACAGACACCUUUCCUUCUCUACUGACUGGUGACCUGGGGGAUAUCCCUGCAGGACAACUCCACUGGCUGCUUGUUUGAGCUGGAAGCUGAACUCACAGAAGUGUUUGGAUGAGGUCCUCUGGCCUGUGUCAUCAUGGAAUCAGAGAAUGGUAGGGGUUGGAAGGGACCUCCAAAGGUAUCUAGUCCAACCCCCCUGCUAAAGCAGGACCACCUAGUGACACAGGAGGUGAGGCUCUGCAGCCACAGGCUCUUUCAUGGUGACUCUUUGGGGCAGAGCCAUCACUGACAGCUGGUCAUGGGAGUGUAGAUCAGAUUUCCACUGAGGUGAGCACCAGGAGGAAAUCACGAAGCUGAUGUGGAAAUGGAUGUGUUGGGAAUGUUGGCUGACCACAGCAAGAAUGUUCAUGGUCACUGGAGUACUUUCCCUUUCAGAUGAGCUGUUCCCAUCAAGGGCAGCUUGGGGAAACAGUUUGGAGUGGUGCAAUUUGAGGGUCAUUCCAUGGCUUUCUAAAAGAAAAGAGAGAAGAACUGGAAGGGAAACAGAGAAGAUAACACAACUGGUGAUAAACCUGUGCUGUUAUUUCCAUCCCAUCCCAUCCCAGGAAAGCACAAUGUGAAACAUUGCAUUUCUCUUUCUAGGAAGACUUUGAGCAGCUUGACCAGAGCAUGGCCUUUGCCACUGGUGUUGGAGUUUCCAAGGCAGCCACAGAAUCACAAGGGCUGGAAGGGACCUGCAGAGCUCAUCCAGUGCAACCCCCCUGCC